AGGAGGGAGAGAGAGGGGAGCAGACUGAGCAUGCUCACUCUGCUCCCCUCUCUCUCUCUCCUUCAGGAGGGAGAGGGGAGCCGACUGAGCAUGCUCAGUCUGCUCCCCUCUCUCUCUCUCC
rnacentral:miRNA from 1 species